rnacentral:rRNA from 1 species
GACGAACGCUGGCGGCGUGCUUAACACAUGCAAGUCGAACGGAAAGGCCUUUUCGGAGGUACUCGAGUGGCGGACGGGCGAGUAACACGUGGGUGAUCUGCCCUGCCCUCUGGGAUAAGCCUGUGAAACUGGGUCUAAUACCGGAUAGGACCGCACUCUAGCGUGAGUGGUGGAAAGUGUUUUUGGGGUAGGAUGGGCCCGCGGGCUAUCAGCUUGUUGGUGGGGUAAUGGGCUACCAAGGCGGCGACGGGUAGCCGGACUGGGAGGUUGGUCGGGCACAUUGGGGCUGGGAUACGGCCCAGACUCCUACGGGGGGCAGCAGUGGGGAAUUUUGGACAAAGGGGGCAAGCCUGAUGGAGCGACGGCGCGUGGGGGGGGACGGCCUUCGGGUUGUAAAAUCGUUUCGCCAGGGACGGAGCGUUUUGUGACGGUACCUGGAGAAGAAGCACCGGCUAACUACGUG